CUACUACAAAAGAUUACCAAAAAGCAGACAGACCCAGGCUAAACAAUUCAAGUUUGUUGUUGCCAAGGCCCUGGAAAUCCCAACAUUGCUCCUGGAGACGUUGACUCCCGGGUAUGCUGUCUGGAGGAGAGGGUUCUACACAGGCUGUCAGGACAUCUCCGAGUUCCUGGAAAAAUAUAGAAGUCAACCUCAAACGAAAGAAGCUUUCAUUGACCUGAUUCAAAUGACAUCAAUGCUACUGAUCGACUUGAGGAAGUUUAUUUUACGCGGGCAAUCCACCAGGGCAGAGGGAAGUGUCACCCAGGAGGACAACUACUUCAAAUUUGAGGACUUCGUUAGAUUUAUUAUGGAUCACUUUGUCCUUGAGGCAUCCAGAAACCUACUUGAGAGACUCGUUAAUGCUCCAAGUCGCUUACGGUUGCUGUAUGCAUCCAGAAUGAGGACACACGCAGCAGAGAUGCCCUUCCUUCCACAGCCUUGUUAGAGUCUGACACAGACACUGAGGCCGUCUCAGUCUCAGAGUACUCCAUCUCAGAGUCAGACACCUCAGUGUCCACUUCCCGCCUGCCUGAGGACAACCUCCGGUCCCAGGACUGUGGUGGACACAGUGGGACUCUGUGCCCUGGACAAGGGGGCAGUGUUCUGGCAAAGAGAGGAGUCACUGAAACCCUGAUCAGCUCCAGCAGCAGCAGCAGCAGAAACAGUAGCUGCAGCAGUAUCACUAGUGAGAUGAGUAGGCCUCACAGUACCUCCACCUGCUCUGUGAAAGAUCUUCCUACUGAGAGACCACAUGUGUCCUCCUCCAGCCUUUCCACCAGGCCAGAGGAGGCUGUUGCAACUCUAGCCAUGAGCUCCCACGAGG
ensembl:lncRNA